CACCAAGCAAGAGCCAAUAACUUGCUUUCUUCUCUCUCUUUGUAAUAUUUCUUCUAGUGAAAUAUUAAAUUGUCGGUAGUGUCCGAGGACGUAGGCAAAUUAGCCGAACCUCGUUAAAUUCUGGUGUUCUAUUUUAUUGUCUAUUUAGUAGCUAUAUUUGUAGGUAUAUUUGUAGUGAGUUAUUGUGCAAUUAAGUGCAUAUAUAGGUGAUUCUGUCUAGGAAAUUGGUACUUAAGCAGGCCAGUGUGCCUCACCAAAUAUUUCCUGGGAAUUACCAUUUUGCAAUUUUAGGUACAAUAAUUUACUCGUUAUACCUUAACUUUGGUAGGGCUUCCGCAACAAUUGGUAUCAGAGCUCGAGGUUUCUUAGUAUGCUCUGUGGUUGCAGCAUGGUCUGAUCUUCCACAUCAGAAAAGAUUUCUUGGGCUAUUGUUACUCUACAUUUAGGAGCUACUAAAUAUAAUUUGUAGAGAUGGCCGAAAGUAGAUCUUCAUCUACAAUGCAAGCAUCAACAAGCUCGUCAUUAUCUAUUAUGGCGAGAAAUGUUAUGACGAAUACAAAAUUAAAUGUGGAGACAUUUGAUGGUACCGGUCAUUUCGGCAUGUGGCAAAGUGAGAUUCUAGACGCGCUCUUUAAUCAAGGUCUAGACAUUGCCAUCGAAAAAGAGAAACCAGAAGAGAUUGAAGAGAAGGAAUGGAGGACGCUAAAUCGUUUAGCGUGUGGUACAAUUCGAUCGUGUCUUUCAAGGGAACAAAAAUAUGUGUUCUCAAAAGAAACCUCUGCAAAUAAAUUAUGGACUGGAUUGGAGGAGAAGUUCUUGAAGAAAAAUUGUCAGAACAGGCUCAACAUGAAGAAGCGUUUAUUUCGCUUCACUUAUGUUCCUGGCACAACUCUAAGUGAUCACAUCACUAAUUUCAAUCAGUUAAUCACUGAUCUGAUGAAUUUAGAUAUGACAUUUGAAGACGAAGAUUUGGCUCUCAUGUUGUUGGGAUCUCUUUCUGAGGAGUUUGAGCAUCUUGAAACAACUCUACUCCAUGGGAAAGCUGAGGUGUCCCUCAGUGAAGUUAGCUCUGCCCUGUACAGCUAUGAGCUCAGAAGAAAAGACAAGCAAAAUAGCAGAGAUGGAGCAGCAGAAGCUCUGGUAACUAGAGGACGCUCACAAAACCAGAGAAAGGGGACGAGAAGAAGAUCCAAGUCAAGAGCCAGACUAAGUAAAGAUGAGUGUGCCUUUUGCAGAGAGAAAGGGCACUGGAAGAAGGACUGUCCAAAACUGAAGGGUAGACCUGACAAAGAAAAAGCUGUUGCGGAUUCAAAUGUAUCUGAGUGCAUUGAUCAAAACUCAGAUUUUUCAUUAGCUGUCAUGCCUACUGGUCAUUCUAGUACAUGGCUAUUGGACUCAGGUUGUAGCCAUCAUAUGACGUCCAAUAGAGAAUGGUUCUUUGAUUUCAAGGAAAAAGAAGGUGGAGUCGUCUACACGGCAAAUGAGACCACAUUAGUAACAAAUGGGGUUGGUUCAAUUCGGCUGAGGAAUCAGGAUGGAUCAAUUAAGAUUCUAACUGAUGUCCGAUAUGUGCCAGAAUUGAAAAAGAACCUCAUUUCUGUGGGAGUACUAGAAUCAAUGGGCUACAAGGUGUCGGCAUAUAAUGGAGUGAUGAAAAUCAUUUCAGGUGCAUUGGUGCUGGUGAAAGGAAUCCGGAAAAAUAAUAACUUGUAUUACUAUCAAGGUAAUGCAGUUGUUGGAGUAGCGGCCGUGGCUUCCAGUGAUGAUCGAGAAUUGAAAGUAACCAGAUUAUGGCAUAUGCGCUUAGGGCAUGCCGGAGAAAAAUCUUUGAAUCUUCUGAUGAAUCAAGGACUAUUAAAAGGAGCCAGUGUUUGCAAGUUAGAUUUUUGCGAGCAUUGUGUCAAAGGAAAGCAGACAAGGGUAAAAUUUGGCACUGCAAUUCACGAUACCAAGGGUAUUUUGGAUUAUGUGCACUCUGAUGUGUGGGGACCUUCCAAAACAACUUCUUUGGGAGGCAAGAAUUAUUUUGUUACCUUUGUCGAUGACUUCUCUCGAAGAGUAUGGGUGUAUACUAUGAAGGCGAAAAGUGAAGUAUUGGGAAUUUUCAUCAAGUGGAAAAAGAUGGUGGAAACUCAAACAGAAAGAAAGAUCAAACGCCUUCGAACAGACAACGGAGGUGAAUACACUAGUGAUCCGUUCAUGGAGGUCUGUGAAAAUGAAGGCAUUGUUCGGCACUUCACAGUCAGAGAUACACCACAGCAAAACGGGGUGGCAGAGCGUAUGAACCGGACAUUGGUGGAGAAAGUUCGGUGUAUGUUGUCCAAUGCUGAGUUGGGCAGACAAUUUUGGGCUGAGGCUUUAGCAUAUGCAAAUCACCUCGUUAAUCGCUUACCAUCAACUGCUAUUGGCGGCAAAACGCCAUUAGAGAAAUGGUCGGGAAAACCUGCUACAGAUUAUGAUUCCUUACAUGUGUUUGGUUCUACUGCAUAUUAUCAUGUUAAAGAAUCAAAGUUGGAUCCAAGGGCGAAGAAGGCGCUCUUUAUGGGGAUCACAACAGGCAUUAAAGGUUAUCGCCUUUGGUGUCCCGAAACGAAAAAGAUAGUUUUCAGCAGGGAUGUCACCUUUGAUGAAUCUACCAUGUUAACAAAGGUAGAUGUACAGCAGAAUGAUAGUACUCCCCAACAGGUGGAGAGCACUCCUAAGCAGAUGGAGUUUGAAAGAAGCAUUAUCAGACCAGCAGUGGAUAUCGGAGUAGAUGAAAGGACUCCUAUGGUAGAAGAAGAAUCAACUGAAGAAAAUGUUCCAGUUGAAGAACUUUCACAGCAACAUGAAUCAAUUGCAACCAGUAGGCCAAAGAGGACAAUCAGAAAACCUGCUCGUUUUGCUGAUAUAGUGGCCUAUGCAUCCCCAACCAUAAAUGUUGAUAUUCCUGCCACUUUCAAUGAAGCAGCUCAAAGUUCGGAUAAAGAAAAGUGGAGGAUUGCAAUGGAUGAAGAAGUACAUUCCCUUCAUAAGAAUCAAACAUGGAGGCUAACCAGUCUUCCAAAGGGAAAGAAGGCAAUCGGAUGCAAGUGGGUAUAUGCAAAGAAGGAAGGAUUUCCUGACAAGUCUGGUGUUCGCUACAAAGCAAGAUUGGUGGCUAAAGGCUACGCUCAGAAGGAGGGAAUUGAUUACAACGAAGUGUUUUCUCCAGUCGUGAAACAUUCCUCCAUCAGAAUUUUAUUGGCUUUGGUAGCACAAUUGGAUCUGGAACUUGUCCAAUUAGAUGUAAAAACUGCGUUUUUACAUGGUGACUUGGAAGAGGAAAUCUACAUGACUCAGCCAGAAGGAUUCAAAGUUGCUGGUAAAGAAAAGAUGGUAUGCAAGCUUGACAAAUCGUUGUAUGGAUUGAAGCAGUCUCCAAGACAGUGGUAUAAGCGAUUUGACAAGUUUAUGAUGGGGCAAAGGUACACAAGAAGCAAAUAUGAUGAUUGUGUAUAUUUGCGCAAGCUACGAGAUGGAUCCUACAUAUAUCUUCUUCUUUAUGUUGAUGAUAUGUUGAUAGCUUCCAAGGAUCAAGGUGAGAUUGAAAAAUUGAAAUCUCAUUUGAGUCGGGAGUUUGAAAUGAAGGAUCUCGGCGAAGCCAAGAAAAUUCUCGGCAUGGAGAUAAGUAGAGAUAGAAGAUUGGGGAGGCUUUAUUUGACACAGAAAGAGUAUCUUAGUAAAGUAUUAAAGAGGUUUGGUAUGAAUGAAAAGACUAAACCUGUUAGUACUCCACUUGCUCCUCAUUUCAAGUUUAGUGCAUCGUUAUCUCCAAAGAAUGAUGCAGAACGAGAAUAUAUGGCAAAGGUACCGUAUGCAAAUGCGGUGGGUAGCUUGAUGUAUGCUAUGGUGUGUACAAGGCCCGACAUUUCACAAGCAGUUGGAGUUGUGAGCAGGUACAUGCAUGAUCCUGGCAAGGAGCAUUGGCAAGCUGUGAAAUGGAUUUUACGGUAUAUUUUGAACACCGUAGAUGUUGGAUUAGUAUUUGAGCGGGAUGAGAAGAUUGGUCAAGGCGUAGUUGGAUAUUGUGAUUCCGACUACGCAGGAGAUCAAGAUACACGUCGAUCAACGACUGGGUAUGUUUUUACACUUGCUAAGGCACCAGUCAGUUGGAGGUCUACCUUACAGUCAACAGUUGCUUUGUCUACUACAGAGGCGGAGUAUAUGGCAGUUACGGAAGCUGUUAAGGAAGCAAUUUGGCUUCAUGGAUUGCUUGAUGAAUUGGGAAUUGGACAGAAGUCUAUCAAAGUUCAUUGUGAUAGUCAGAGUGCUAUUCAUUUAGCAAAGAACCAAGUUUAUCAUGCAAAGACGAAGCAUAUCGACGUACGGUAUCAUUUUGUGAGGAAGAUUUUGGAAGAUAGUACGAUACUACUUCAAAAGAUUCAGACCAAGGAGAAUCCUGCUGAUAUGCUUACGAAGGUUGUGACAACUAUCAAAUUCCAACAUUGUUUGAAUUUGAUAAAUGUUGUGCACAACUUGAAGAUUGGCGCUUGACAACGCAUUUGAAGACACCACCGAAUUUGAGGGAAAAAAAUUUGUAUUUUUGGUGGGAUUAGAAAUUAUGCCAAGGUGGAGAUUUGUUGAAUUCAAAGCCAAGCCUCAAUUGAUGACUUUUUCAAGCCAAAAUUGAGGACUUUGAAUUCUUUGGCCUAAGUUUCUAAAUCCCACAUCGGUUAAGUUUAACAUUUGAGAGGUUGUUUGAGAACUAUAAAUAGCUCUCAAACAAACCAAUUCAAGUACACCAAGCAAGAGCCAAUAACUUGCUUUCUUCUCUCUCUUUGUAAUAUUUCUUCUAGUGAAAUAUUAAAUUGUCGGUAGUGUCCGAGGACGUAGGCAAAUUAGCCGAACCUCGUUAAAUUCUGGUGUUCUAUUUUAUUGUCUAUUUAGUAGCUAUAUUUGUAGGUAUAUUUGUAGUGAGUUAUUGUGCAAUUAAGUGCAUAUAUAGGUGAUUCUGUCUAGGAAAUUGGUACUUAAGCAGGCCAGUGUGCCUCACCAAAUAUUUUCUGGGAAUUACCAUUUU
rnacentral:lncRNA from 1 species